rnacentral:rRNA from 1 species
UACGUAGGGUGCAAGCGUUUGUUCGGAAUUACUGGGCGUAAAGGGCUCGUAGGCGGCCAACUAAGUCGGAUGUGAAAUCCCCAGGCUUAACCUGGGAACUGCAUCCGAUACUGGAUGGCUUGAAUCCGGGAGAGGGAUGCAGAAUUCCAGGUGUAGCGGUGAAAUGCGUAGAAUAUCAGGAAGAACACCCGGUGGCGAAGGCGGUUCUCUGGGACGGUACUGACGCUGGAGACGGCGAAA